rnacentral:rRNA from 1 species
AACGAACGCUGGCGGCAUGCCUAACACAUGCGAGUCGAACGAGACCUUCGGGUCUAGUGGCGCACGGGUGCGUAACGCGUGGGAAUCUGCCCUUGGGUUCGGAAUAACAGUGAGAAAUUACUGCUAAUACCGGAUGAUGUCUUCGGACCAAAGAUUUAUCGCCCAGGGAUGAGCCCGCGUAGGAUUAGCUAGUUGGUGGGGUAAUGGCCUACCAAGGCGACGAUCCUUAGCUGGUCUGAGAGGAUGAUCAGCCACACUGGGACUGAGACACGGCCCAGACUCCUACGGGAGGCAGCAGUGGGGAAUAUUGGACAAUGGGCGCAAGCCUGAUCCAGCAAUGCCGCGUGAGUGAUGAAGGCCUUAGGGUUGUAAAGCUCUUUUACCCGGGAUGAUAAUGACAGUACCGGGAGAAUAAGCUCCGGCUAACUCCGUG